CUGUGACUGUCCGUCUCAGAGUGGGCUAUUUUGUUUUCAAUCUUCCCUGGAUGAAAUCGAUGCAACGGUUUGCCUUACAAAAACCUUUGGGAUUGCAUCUCCUACUCCCAGCAUGUAGAUUUUGAAACAGAACCAGAAUGUGCUGUCAGCUGUUCUGGGCAUGUAUGCCCCGAGGAUGCUGGGAGAUGGCCCGAGGAUGCUGGGAGACGGCCCGAGGAUGCUGGGAGAAGGCCCGAGGAUGCUGGGAGAAGGCCCGAGGAUGCUGGGAGAAGGCCCGAGGAUGCUGGGAGAAGGCCUGAGGAUGCUGGGAGACGGCCCGAGGAUGCUGGGAGAAGGCCUGAGGAUGCUGGGAGACGGCCUGAGCUUACACUACCCUCUUCUCUACUGGCUCAGGGGUUCUUACCGGCAGUGUAUUCACACACACUGCGGAGUUCCUUCCUUUUGGCCAUAAGUGGUUCUGGAUACUCAGCCACACCUUUUGCUGGCUGCUUUACUUUCAUCAAAUAAACCCAACCUCACGGUUCUCUUUCUCAUAGCUGAUGGAGAAUUAACUUCCUUUCUGGGGUCCUCCCUGCUCACGGUUGAGCCAUGAUUUUGCAGACUCUCUCCCUUGUCCCUGUACUUGUGAUUUUCCCAUGAUUUUAGGAGAAUCAUGACAUUGAAGUAUGGGGAGGUGUUCCUGGUGAACUGUGAUCACUACUGUCUGCAUCCGAUUGGCCUCUCGGGGGUUCCUAGAGUUGAAGUCCCAUCUUUCCAGGGACUAGAAGGUGUGGGCCCUGAUUCCCUUUUCACUCAGGACCUAUUUUUUCCCGUUUCUUCAAAUCCAGAAUCUCCAAUGGCAGCAGUCCUUCUUUAUUAAUUUUGUCCCCAGGCUUCUUACUAUGACUUUUCAUUUGUUCCUGGCUGGUUCCCUGAUCCCAUGGAUUAGGCUUUGGAGGAAGGCAUUUAGGAAACCAGGCAGGUUACUCCUGCUGGUUGUUUUGUUUUGUUUUGUUUUUGUUCCACCCCUCCUAGAGUGAUGGAGAGUGAGCAGAUUGUAAUUAUGAAUGAACACAAAGGAAGAGAUGGGAGAAACAAAAACACUUGAAUUAAUACUUCAAAAUAUAGCACAAAGCAUACGUUCAUUGUGAGUGUUGUGUCAGGUAUGGUCCUAGGAAAAUGUGAUGUACUAUGUUACUUGGUAAUGCUGAGUUGAGUUUUAUCCUUGGUCUAUUGAUGAGACCAAGGGCUAGAGAGACUUAGUAGCUUGCACAAGGCCAUCCUCAAAUGGUUGGGCUGUGUAUCAUAGUGUCAGGGCAGGGUCCUAGGGCUUGUCAUUAUGGGAUCUAAGACAAGUCUGGUCUCAGAGAAAGAUGUGGCUGGCAGCUCUGCCAGUUAAUAACUUUGCAGCUCCGGGCACAUCUUUUAAUUAUCUCGGCAUGAAUUUCUGCACCAGCAAAUUAAUACUGUUGUGCUAGAGUCUCAGGCCCCGGGUUCUGCAUGAGAAAAUUAACAGUACAGACCCGAAUGACUUCAAGUAUUCUUUCAGAGGGUCUGUGGCUUCAAACUGUCUUAUAAAUUCCAGUCACCAGGGCAGCUUCUCUGAAACCCUCCCUACUCAACCCUCCACCGUCAGAAGGGUUUGAGAGAGCAUAUCUAAAAAGUGUAUUCCUAGAAUCACCCCCGAUUACGCAAAUCUGCAGCCGAAUCUCUGCAGAUAUAGCCGACAGUCUCCUGGGGUUUUCAGACUACAGUUUAGGUGGCCUAGAUUGUAUCUUGUGUUCCUGUAGGACGUGAGGGAAGGUAAGAACUCGACAAUGGGAGAGAAGAGGCCAAUGCACGCUAGAAAACAUGCUGGUUGGAAUGAGAAUGGUUCCUGUAGGCUUCUCUAUUUGAAUGCUUGCUCCUCAGUUGAUGAACUACUUGGGAUUAGCAGGUGUGGCCUUGUUGGAGGAGGCGUGUCACUGGGGGUAGUUUCGAGGUUUCAGAAGCCCAUGCCAUUUCCAGUUAAUCUCUCUCUCUCUCUCUCUCUCUCUCUCUCUCUCUCUCUCUCUCUCUCUCUCUCUCUCUCUCCCACACACACACACACACUCUUCCUCUCUGUCUCCCUCUUUCUUUGCUUCAUACCUGUGGAUCCCUUAUAAGUUCUCAGCUACUGCUUCAGCACCAUGCCUGCCUACCUGCCUGCUCCCCUGCCUCCCUGCCUCCCUGCCUGCCUGCCUGCUCCCCUGCCCUGCUCCCCACCAUGAUGGUCAUGGACUCCAACCCUCCGGAACUGUGAGCCCCCGAACUAAACAUUUUCUUUUAUAGGUUGCCUUGGUCACAGUGUUUUGUCGGGCAAUAGAAAAGUAACUACGACAGACGACAACUGGUUUAAAACAAAAAGAUUUAAAACCAGACUCUGGUGUGUGGGGUCGGUGAAUGGAUUGGUGUGACUGCAGAGAAAGGGUGCCAUGGUUUCCAUGUGUUGUUCCUCAACGUUUCAUGCACUGGAGACUGACUUGGUCUUCAGUGUGGAGGUGGGGCUUUUAAGAGAUGGGCACUAGUGGGAAGUGUCCGUAGGUCAAGUGAAGACAUGUGCUUGGAAAGGACUGUGAGACCUUUACCUUCUUCUGGCUUCCUGCCUAGUUCGGUUCUUGUUUCCAUACAUCUUCGCCAUUUCUACCACCAUGAGAUGAAACAACUAAGGAAAGUCCUCAUUACAGACAGGAUCACGUUGUUUAGACGUCCAACCUCCCCACAAUGUGAAUAAGCCCCUUUCAUUUAUAAAGUUAGCCUGCCUCAGGUCUUCCACUGUACUUAUACCAAAUGGACUAAUCUCAGGUCGUAUUAGUCAGCUGCAGAAAAUUAGCUAAAUGAGCUAAGUGGGGCGAAUCAUGACCCAGAAUAGCCCUUUUUAGUGAUUAGAGGAUGAAUCUCUGCUAGAUAAAAAUGCACUUAUGGGACCAGAGAGCUGGCCUAGUGAGCAGCGUGUUGCUAUGCAAGUCCAGGGACCUGAGUGUGCGACAAGGGCCUGGACAGUGUGGAGACAGCAGAGUGGUUCCAGGUCACAGCCUGCAGAGAACCAGGUCUGGGAGGGAGAAGACUAAGGCCAUAUGAUCCCAAGACGAACUGUUUCGUUGCAGGGUGGAGGGAAGCAAUGCCUGUACUUGAACUUGGAGGAGCGCAUCCAGGUGUUUUAAUGGACUGAUCUUCAUGGGCAGCUUGAGGAGAGCAGCAGGCGGGGUGACAAGGUGGAAGACGGCCCCGGGCUGGGGUGGCUGCUCACAGAGGGACAGUUAGAUUUAUUUAUUAUAUAUACAGUAUUCUGCCUGCAUGUAUCCCUGCAGGCCAGAAGAGGGCACCAGAUCUCAUUACAUAUGGUGGUUGUGAGCCACCAUGUGGUUGCUGGGAAUUGAACUCAGGACCUUUGGAAAAGCAGUCGGUGCUCUUAACCACUGAGCCAUCUCUCCAGCCCUCACAUGAUCUUAUUGGUCCUUGCGGAUGUAAUCAGGAUGAAGUUAUACUGGAUUAAGAUUGAUUAUUAAGUCUGACGGCUGGUGGCCUUACACGGAACGCUGAGGACCCACACAGAUACUUGAAGAAGGACGAAGGCAAUGUGACUUUGAGAUCAGGCAUGAGAGUGAUGUACCUACAAGCUCGAGGGUCACCAGGGCCACCUGCAGCUGGGAAAGAGAGUACGGUCCUGCCAACUUCUUAACUUCAGACUUUCAGCCUGGAGGGCUAUGAGGCCACAGACUCCCAUCCUUUAAACUCUUAGUUUAUGUCAAAUUGUUGCUGCAGUCUUAGGAAGUGACACCUGAUCUUUGGGAGAAUGUUCCUGUGACUCAUCUGUUCACAUAUUCACUCACCUGCCACUUCUGGAUUCCAGGUGCAGGGGACACUGACCUGCAUCGAGGGAACCAGGGAUCAUUGGGGCCACUUCCAUCCUAAGUGGCUUUAGCUGAUGAUGUCAGAGUCAGCACCGGCUUCAAGGUUGUGUGGCCUCUGUAGCUGCACGUGGCUCAAAGUUCGGAAGCACUUGGUCCUGUAUUUAGCACUCUGCAGUGGCUGUCUUGAAAAAUAUCCCAAUUUUUGAAUAAGUGAUGCUCCAUUUUUAUUUUGCACUGGGCCCCACUAAUUAUUAUUAUGUGUCUUGUUCCUUCUGGGGUAAUUAUGUAAACAUUGACGGUAUCAAGAGGGCAUGGAGAAGGACCCACUAGGGUAAUGUAGGAUUCCUUGAAGGGAGAGUCUGUGCAUAGAGCAAAUUAAAAAAGCAGACAUCUACAAAGCUGUAUGGCUGUGACUUUGUCCGCAACUGCCUAGAAACAGAUCUUUAACAAAUAUGUGAAGUCUAAGUUCUAUUUUUUGUGUGUGUGUGCUUAUAACGUGCAAAAUAUAGUAGUACAAUAACUUCUGCACAUAUAAUCUUAAAAUGUGUCACUUAUAUUGGGGUCCUCUUUCACUAGCAUAUAUUAAUGGUACAGAGGAAGGGAUUUCUGUGUGACAUUCUUAUAUGCAUAGAGGACACUUGAUAAUGGUCACUUAUUAUUUAAUAAGCCUUCUCAUUUCCCCUCUCACACUACCUUUCCUUUUCUACACAGCUCUUCCUUUGCUUUUGUGUCCUUUUCAGAUGUCCUAGACCCCACAAAUAAGAGCGAACAUGAAGGACUUCUGGAUCUGGCUUGGUGGGUGUAUGUGAAGGUCUGUGUGUAUCUCUUGCUUUGUUUAUCUGUCCAUUCAUUGAUGAGCUCCUUGGCUGGUGCCACAAUUUGGCUAUUGUGACCAGUGUAGCAGUAAUGAUGGGUGUGUAGCUAUCUGGACAGUAAACAGACUUUGUUCAGUUGGAGGACAUACCCGGAAGUGGUGUAACUGGAUUGUAUGGAAGUCCUUUUAAAUUUUUUUUUGAGGAAACUUGAGACUGAUUUCCAUAGCAGCUGCUCCAAUUUACAUUCUCAGCACCAGUGUGUCAGAGUUCUCCUCAUCCUUGCCAACAUUUGAUGGUUUUUGUUUCUUUAUUGGCAGCCAUUCUGACUGGGGUGGGAAGGAAUUUCAAUGUAGCUUUAAACUUGCAUUUCCCUGACGGCUAAAUGUACUGAUUAUUAAGGUCUUUUCUGACUCUUGGAAUCAGCAAGGAGCCUUCAAGGGCCAUAAUGGCUUAUGGGAAGGAGACUCAGAAAAAUACAAGGAAACAACCUGGAAAGUCCUUAUUUCUUACAAGACAGUUUCAGAGGAAAAUAUGAAAACUUUGGAAUGAUAGUAUAAUUCAGUAAGAUCCCAAGCCCAGGGCCUCACUCUGACUGCUUUACAAUGACUAUGAGCUCCACAUGUGCAGAGUGAGCUCACAGGAAUGUGCAGCCCGUUGUCUUUCUGUUUCAACAGCCUUCACUUGGGACUUCCCUUUAUUUAUAGAAAAACUAAAGUUCUUGGCAUUGUGUUAGAGGUUGGGUGAGUUGUUUAAAAGUUGGGGUCUUAUUCUUCCCUCUCACCCCGAGUGCCCCAUGGGAAACAAUCAGUCUCUGUAUCGAGUCAUGCUCUCCUGCCUCCGUAUCAUGGACCCACUGCUUCCUCUUGAAGGCAUCACUUGCAGCUAUAUUUCCCCAAACCCUUUAAAUCUGGCCCCCAUGACACAAUCCUCUCUGUGGUAGCUUGAAUGAGAAAUGUUGCCCAUGGUCAAUCUCUAUCUGCUGGCACUGUUUGGGGUGUUUAGGUGGUACGGGCUCCCUGGAAGAGUAUAUCACUAGGGCCAGGCUUUGAGACUGAAAUCUCGCACCACCACUUCAGUUCAUAGCACUUGGUGCUAGCAUUUGAAGAUGUGAGCUCUCGGCACCCUUUUCCCACCACCAGGCCUGCCUUUUGCUGCUGUGUCUCCCUACUGUGAUGCGACAUGGUAUAUCUCUGGAACCAUAAGCCAAAAAUAAACUGUCUUUUACAAGUUC